GCGUGGCCUAUGCCAAAAGAUGCAGCAGACUCCAGUGAAUCUGUGUGUACAAGGUUUUGAAUGUGGGAGGUUCGGUGUGGGAGUUAUAGCCCCAAACACGUAUUCCUUGGUAUAGCGCCACCUAGUGACCGGCGUGUCUGGAUUUUGUCGUCUGCAUAGUCCGAAGAGAUCUGGAUCUAGUCAUGCAAUUGGCGUGUCGGCACCAUUUACGGUUUGGGCUGUGGUCCCACUUUUAGGGAGGUAAGUAUAAUAGGAAAAAUCCUUACAAAAACAAUAGGGAUCCAACCUGUUGGCUUGGACCCCUAAUAA
ensembl:lncRNA